rnacentral:misc_RNA from 1 species
ACAUUGAAGACAUUCAGUCGAUUUGUCAUGUAUUAAAAAAAAUAACUUUGAUAGUUACGGGGCAGUGCGGGGGGCAACUUCGUCUGUUAUUUUCGUUAAAAAUUACAUUAGAAAUCUAAUUUUAAGUGAAACUAUAAUAAAAUAAGCAAAAUGGAUGAGAAAGGAAGAAAAGUUAUCGUUUGCGACAACGGCACAGGCUUCGUGAAGUGUGGAUAUGCUGGAAGCAACUUCCCAGCGUUCAUAUUCCCGUCGAUGGUCGGCCGGCCGAUCAUCAGGGCUGAGAAUAAGAUCGGAGACAUCGAUGUGAAGGAUUUAAUGGUUGGUGAUGAAGCUUCGAAACUCAGGUCCAUGCUGGAAGUCAGCUAUCCUAUGGAGAAUGGAGUGGUCCGUAACUGGGAGGACAUGUGCCACGUGUGGGACUACACGUUCGGCCCCAGCAAAAUGAAUGUAGACCCGCGGGAGACCAAGAUCCUGCUCACAGAACCCCCUAUGAACCCCACCAAGAACAGGGAGAAGAUGAUUGAGGUAAUGUUCGAGAAGUAUGAGUUCGACAGCGCGUACAUUGCUAUCCAGGCAGUGCUUACAUUGUACGCGCAAGGACUCAUCUCUGGAGUCGUCGUCGAUUCAGGUGAUGGCGUAACCCACAUAUGCCCAGUAUAUGAAGAGUUCUCGCUGCCUCACCUCACCAGACGACUCGACAUCGCCGGACGAGAUAUUACCAGGUAUCUUAUCAAGCUGCUCCUCCUCCGAGGGUAUGCCUUCAACCACUCGGCAGACUUCGAGACAGUCCGCAUGAUGAAGGAGAAGCUCUGCUACAUCGGGUACAACAUCGAGCAGGAGCAGCGCCUCGCCUGGGAGACUACCGUGCUCGUCGAGCCUUAUGUGCUACCGGACGGCCGAGUGAUCAAAGUGGGAGGUGAGAGGUUCGAGGCCCCGGAGGCGUUGUUCCAGCCACAUCUCAUCAACGUGGAGGGACAGGGGAUCGCUGAGCUCGUGUUUAAUACUAUACAGGCAGCGGACAUCGACAUGCGCAACGAGCUGUACAAGCACAUCGUGCUGUCGGGCGGCUCCACCAUGUACCCGGGGCUGCCGUCCCGCCUCGAGCGCGAGAUCAAGCAGCUCUACCUCGAGCGCGUGCUCAAGAACGACUGCGACAAGCUGGCGAAAUUCAAGAUCCGUGUGGAAGACCCGCCCCGGCGCAAGGACAUGGUGUUCAUCGGCGGCGCCGUGCUGGCCGAGGUCUGCAAGAACAGGGACAACUUCUGGCUCUCUAGGAACGAGUACCUCGAACAGGGUAUCUCCUGCUUAAGGAAGCUCGGUCCCCGCGCCAGUUAAUGACUGAAUCACUACUUAAUUACUCUUACUGUAUAUAGACGGUGACAUAAAGGCGUAAACGACACUAAUAGUGAUUUGUACUAUUUAACUAUAUCGAUAACUAAACCAUUACCAGCCGUGAAAUUGCCAGAUAUUGGUAAAAUCUACGGAGAAAGGAACGAUGAGCAGAGAUGCUAUAAGGCAGGUAGGUCAGACGCCUUCUUGUAGGUCGGCGUCUCGUAUGAUAGGCGUGAUCACUUAUUCCUACUAAUAUUAUAAAUGCGAAAGUAACUCUGUCCGUUACGCUUCCACGUCUAAACCACUGAAUUGAUUUUAAUAAAAUUUGAUACAGAGAGAGUUGACCUUGAGAGAGAACAUAGGAUAAUUUUUAUCCCGGAGUUUUGAUGUUCUCUUGGCAACGCGAUAUAACCGAACUUGAUGCGGGCGGACGCUAGUUCGAAAUAACGCGGCAUUCGAGUUACUUGUCAAAUCAAAACCAACCUGUCAAAGGUUGGUCUUGCUUGAUUAAAGAUUUUUUUUUAAAAUAAAUGGGCGGAUUCCAAAGAAGGCGUGUAAGGGCAAAGCUUAUAACGUUCUAGUAGCUAGUAACCCGUAUUUUGGCGCGAUACUUUCUUAGGAGAUUUUGCGUUAUGACAUCUCCGGUAGUCAUUUUGUUCUCUGUGGUCAAAUCGGUGAUUUGACAACUGGAAAUGGUUUAACUAUAUUUAAAUGGUGUAACUCACCUUACACCAAUCAUUUUGUCGUCGGUUACGUCUACCGUUGAUACGAUUCAAGUAUUCCGUUAUUUUACUUCGAAACUAAGUUAGCUUGUAUAGAAUCAAUGAUUUUAUUAUGUUUAUAAAUUUUGUAUAUCGAUUUAAUAGUUACAGUUUAUGAAUACAACUGUUUAUAGAUUUUUUCGUAUUUUUAGGCGUGUGCGUGUUAUGUAGGCUUAAUUUCAUAAAUGGGACAUAGAAAUAUUUAAUUUGAAUUAAAUCUAGCGAAACGUGUGUAUUGUUAAGCGUAUGAAGUUGUGUAUGAACUUAUUUUUCCAAUAAAAUUAUAAACACAAUAUUUAUGUAUACAUAUUUUAUGAUUCCAUAUUUUUACCCAACUACAGCAGAUUUCUUUAUGCAUUUCUUGUGUUAAUAAAGUACCUACAUAACACACACACGCUAUAAUAAAGCAUUUAAUUUAAAUUUAAUUUACCUAAAAGCCUCACCAACUACUUAUGAUUGACAUAAAAAUGUUUAACCAAGAGAUUUUAUAUAAAAUUCAACACUUAGGUUUAGCUAGUACUUUUUGUAAUCUAGAUCAGAGCUUGGUUAUUUAGAAAUAUUAAAGGAAAAAUAUGAAAAGAAAAACAAGUUUUAAGACUUAAUGAAAAUUGGUAUGUUAACUGAUGUCAGUCUUUUCACCGAAUACUGAAACGCCACUUAAUUUUAUCGAAAGCUCAAACAUCAUUCUAUUUCUGUCACAUUUACGUAAAUUGCUGAGACAGAAAAACUUACGUAUGUAAAGUUAACUAACAUUUGAGUUUUUCGAGAGUAUGAGCGUAUUUAUUAAAAAAAAAACAGGCUUCAAGAGGUGAAAUUUUUUUGCAAAACUUUACCAAACAUUUAUUCUGCAAACAUUUUGUAUGUAAUUUUUAUGGUACUCAAUUACAUAUUUGUGAUCCUAGAGCAUGUUUUAUACGAUAGAAGUUUUCACAGACUGCCAAAUGUAGUAGCAAAGAGAAGAUUGUUUGCAUUUACUGAGUAGAUAAUUCUAGAAUGAGUUUCAAGAAUGUUAUAAAAAUUAAAAUGUUGCCGAUUGUAUGUAAAAUACUCUCUCGACUUAAACUAAUUGAAUGAAGUCGGUUGUAAUACAGAAAGAGAAGUGGGAACUAUUUCUACGAGUAUAAAUUGUAUGCAAUAAGUGUAAGUCGAUGUCGACACGGGAGGGAAUGUAAAUGUAAUAAUUAUUGUAUGAUUUGUAAUUAAUUAUAAUUUAAUUGAAUC